rnacentral:lncRNA from 10 species
GUUGAUUGAGAGAGAAAGACUUCUUUAAAAAAGCGUUUUUGUUAAGGAGUCUGGGAAUCAUGGAAUCAUAGUGACCAGUAACUGUUAUGGACUGGAUUGUAUCCCCCUCCAAUUCAGUUAUGGUGCUGCUUCAGAAAGAAAAGAGAUAGUUUCCCUUGCAAAGUUAUCAAAGUGCUCCCCAGAAGACAUUAGGUAUUUGCUUUCUAGUCUACAUACAAUGAAAAGGAAAAAACGUCAGUUCCUGAAGCUCUCUCAAAACAUCAACAGAUGGAAAGACGUGCCCAUGUCCUCCCCUCCCUCCACUCUGGGGGCUUGGAAAUGCUGCAGCAGGGAGCAGGCCCCAGGCUGGACCUGCCCUGUCCUCACGACGAGUGUGUGCAAAAGUGAACAAUAAAUCAUUUCAAAGAUGCAAGGAAGAAAAACCAAAACAUCAACAGAAUCUUCUUUCCCAUAAUCUUCAUGCACCUCCUGGUCCGGAUGAGUUUAUGUUCCCAUCUCCGAGCACAGGGAUUGAUUGUGAUGGCAUUUAUAGGACUGAGUGCCCCACACUCUGUGAUCCAGCAUGGAGUUAUGAUUUACAUCACCACAGGAAGAGUACAGAGGCUUCAACAGAAAAAAAGCAAAAACAACAGACCUUCAUUCAGCUUAGGAACAUAAUAAAUAGGACGAAGUUGAAUAAACGAAAUGGAGGGGAGUGAAGUAUUCCAGAUGGAAGAGGCAGUACGUGGCCAAGAGGAAACAGACCAUGUGCGCUGGAGAAAAAGGAUGGCCAGACUUGCAGAAACCUGGAAUUGGUGAUUGGCUUUAGAAGUGGAGAGACAAAAAAGGAGGCAUAGAAAGUGCCAACAUUUGGCUACACAGGGAAGAAAGACGUAAAAUAAUAAAAACAUUGGCAUCACCUGUAGACUCAAAUCCUGUGAGUG